GUGAAUCAUCAAAUUUUUGAACGCAAAUUGCACUCUCCUCGGAGAGUAUGCCUGUUUGAGGGUCAGCCUAUAAAAAAUCGACAUCGUUGCUGUUUCGCGGUGGCGUUCGUCGGAAAUUGGGUCAUCUUAAAUCUUUUGGUUUUAAGCGACUUAAAAUUUUCUUUUUGGUUCCAUGAACGUUUCUAAGAUUUAUUUCUUCACACGUUUAAGGUAUCGAUUUUUAUAAGCCUGUCCCUCAUUAUGGAUUGCCCCCCAUA
rnacentral:misc_RNA from 1 species